AAUUCUCAACUGCCCCAGGCUUUGUGGCCUGCGGGUGAAGUUGGACUUGGAGGUAUGCUGGCGCAUGAAUGGGCUUUUGUGCCCCGUCUCGCUUGUUGGCUCCUCUCGAAUGCAUGAGCUUUCCAAUCCUUGGCAAAGUAUCGUCGAUGUGAUAAUUGUCUACGUCGCCUGAGAAAGCCGAAAAGGGGAAAUCUUUGAUCACGCUGGGGUGACCUGCGUCUGACAA
rnacentral:misc_RNA from 1 species